rnacentral:misc_RNA from 1 species
UCAUAGCUGAUAAAAGCUGUGAUCCUAGGGCUCUGAAUCAUGCUUUGGGAAAAGGGGCCAUUGAAUAUGAGAAGUUCCUGGAAACUGGUGACCCUGACUUUGCUUGGAAACGACCAGAGGACGAGUGGCAGAGUAUCGCUUUAGGUUAUACUUCUGGCACAACGGCCAGCCCUAAAGGUGUGGUGCUGAGCCACCGAGGAGCCUAUCUAAUGUCCUUGAGUAAUCCUCUAAAUUGGGGGAUGAAUGAAGGGGCUGUGUACUUGUGGACUUUACCAAUGUUCCAUUGCAAUGGUUGGUGUUACACUUGGGCUCUUGCAGCUCUUUGUGGUACAAACAUAUGCCUUCGGCAGGUAUCAGCCAGGGCAGUCUAUUCAGCCAUAGCAAAUGAUGGUGUCAGUCACUUCUGUGCUGCACCUGUGGUGCUCAAUACCAUAGUGAAUGCUCCUAUGGAGGAGACUAUCCUACCACUACCACGUGUUGUACAUGUAAUGACCGCUGGUGCUGCCCCACCCCCUUCUAUACUCUUUGCAAUGUCAGAAAAAGGUUUCCGUGUAACACAUACUUAUGGCCUCUCAGAAACUUAUGGCCCUUCCACUGUGUGUUCAUGGAAGCCUGAGUGGGACUGCCAGCCUCCCGUAAUCCAAGCCCGUCUAAAUGCACGCCAGGGUGUCCGAUACAUUAGCUUGGAAGGCCUUGAUGUUGUUGACCCUAAAACUAUGAAGCCUGUCCCUGCAGAUGGAACCACCAUUGGAGAAAUAGUGAUGAGGGGCAAUGUUGUGAUGAAAGGCUACUUGAAGAAUCCAAAAGCCAAUGAAGAAGCUUUUGCAAAUGGGUGGUUUCAUUCUGGGGAUCUUGCUGUAAAGCAUCCAGACAAUUAUAUAGAGAUUAAGGACAGAUCAAAGGACAUUAUCAUCUCUGGGGGAGAAAACAUAAGUAGCCUGGAGGUAGAAAAUGUACUGUAUGCACACCCAGCAAUAUAUGAGGUAUCAGUGGUGGCUAGGCCAGAUCAGCAGUGGGGGGAGUCACCCUGUGCUUUUGUGACAUUGAAGCCUGAAGUUGACAAAUUGAAUGAAGGGCGUUUGGCUGAAGAUAUAAUAAAGUUUUCCCGGUCGAAGAUGCCUGCUUACUGGGUUCCAAAAUCUGUAAUAUUUGGACCAUUGCCAAAGACAGCUACUGGGAAGAUUCAGAAGCACUUGCUGAGGGUUAAGGCAAAAGAGAUGGGCCCUGUGAAGAAAAGCAAGCUAUAAUUUUUAUUCUGAAAGGUUAAGAAAUUUCCGGUUCCUUUUAAAUUGAAUGAGGCGUGUUCAUCCUUGCCACCAAGAUUUUGCAAAUCGACACCCUUGUAAUUUCUUCGCUGAAUGCAUGCCCUAUUGGAUGAUCAUUUCUUGAGAGGAAGGAUCUUUUAAGUGCAGGGUUCAUGGCGGUACAAAUACUAUUGUGUUCAUGUGUAAAGUAGUAGCUUGAAUUAAAGGUUGUCAACUUCAUUAUUUGUACGGAAGAUGAAUCCUUGGAUAUGUAAUGUAUUCAUUUAUGCAAUUAAUUUGGAAAAUUCGAUGACGUGACAGCUCAUUUGUUGUGAAAGAGAGAGGAU